rnacentral:rRNA from 1 species
CUACGAGGACGAACGCUGGCGGCGUGCUUAACACAUGCAAGUCGAACGGUAAGGCCCUUCGGGGUACACGAGUGGCGAACGGGUGAGUAACACGUGGGUGAUCUGCCCUGCACUUCGGGAUAAGCCUGGGAAACUGGGUCUAAUACCGGAUAGGACCAUGGACUUCACGGUUUGUGGUGGAAAGCUUUUGCGGUGUGGGAUGGGCCCGCGGCCUAUCAGCUUGUUGGUGGGGUAAUGGCCUACCAAGGCGACGACGGGUAGCCGGCCUGAGAGGGUGUCCGGCCACACUGGGACUGAGAUACGGCCCAGACUCCUACGGGAGGCAGCAGUGGGGAAUAUUGCACAAUGGGCGCAAGCCUGAUGCAGCGACGCCGCGUGAGGGAUGACGGCCUCCGGGUUGUAAACCUCUUUCAAUAGGGACGAAGCGCAAGUGACGGUACCUAUAGAAGAAGCACCGGCCAACUACGUG